GAGUGCUGACUUCGGGGGAGAUACGGCGUCGAGCGGCGGACGGGUGAGUAAUGCCUAGGAAAUUGCCCUGAUGUGGGGGAUAACCAUUGGAAACGAUGGCUAAUACCGCAUGAUGCCUACGGGCCAAAGAGGGGGACCUUCGGGCCUCUCGCGUCAGGAUAUGCCUAGGUGGGAUUAGCUAGUUGGUGAGGUAAGGGCUCACCAAGGCGACGAUCCCUAGCUGGUCUGAGAGGAUGAUCAGCCACACUGGAACUGAGACACGGUCCAGACUCCUACGGGAGGCAGCAGUGGGGAAUAUUGCACAAUGGGCGCAAGCCUGAUGCAGCCAUGCCGCGUGUGUGAAGAAGGCCUUCGGGUUGUAAAGCACUUUCAGUCGUGAGGAAGGUGGUGUAGUUAAUAGCUGCAUUAUUUGACGUUAGCGACAGAAGAAGCACCGGCUAACUCCGUGCCAGCAGCGGCCGGUAAUGA
rnacentral:rRNA from 1 species